UUCCGGGUGGCUCAAUGGUAGGGCGUCUCCCUCCUAAGGAGAAGAUUGCGGGUUCGAGUCCCGUCCUGGAAG